CAGCCACAUUGAAAAUGGAUUCAUCCUCCAACUGCAUGCCAGAGUAACGGAGAGACUUUGACAGCCCAGGUUAUCACAGUGCCUGCUGUUGCCACUCAGCUCUCCUAUAUGU
ensembl:snoRNA